AAAGAGUAUUUCUUCUUUUUCUUUAUUUCUUUAAGUCACUGUGAGAAACUAUUGAAAAAAUUGUAGCAUAAGUAUUGAAGCUAACACAUUCGAAGUGCCUUGACUGGGCAAUCAUAUUCCCUACCACUAAAGUAAGUGAGUAACGGUAACAUCCACAAUGGCCAAAAUGAUAUUGUGUUCAAACAAGCCAACGCACUUACCAAAUGAUUAUGAAACUUUUACGCAAAGUGACAGUUAUUUCAGUAAAGUUAAAUUAUUAUUUGAUCCAAAUAAGGGAGAAUUACAUAGAGCUGCUUUAGCCACCUCAUUCAAUAGCCAAUUUUACUAAUUUGUUCGAGCAACCCCGAGAGGUGUUUGAUAAGUCAGUCUUGUCACGCAAGCUGCAUUCCUUAGAUUGUCGAAGCUUUUGUUCGACUGCAACUUUUUGUCCACCUAAUUUUGAAAUGCUUCAGACUGAUAAAGCUGCGACAGUUUUUUCGUCACGUUCUAACUUUUGUCAUGCAGCUGCAUAUAGUGCACAUGAAGCAUCACUACACGGAUCUGAUGACCGCACUGGCAGAUCCAGAAGGAGUCGCAGUCCUGGGCUUUUUCUAUGAGGUGUCCAACAGUGCAAACCGAAAGUAUGAUUCCAUUGUCAGUGCUCUGCGAGCCAUCAAAAA